rnacentral:rRNA from 1 species
UACGGAAGGCAGCAGUGGGGAAUAUUGCACAAUGGGCGCAAGCCUGAUGCAGCCAUGCCGCGUGUAUGAAGAAGGCCUUCGGGUUGUAAAGUACUUUCAGUCGUGAGGAAGGUGUUAAGGUUAAUAACCUUAGCAAUUGACGUUAGCGACAGAAGAAGCACCGGCUAACUCCGUGCCAGCAGCCGCGGUAAUACGGAGGGUGCGAGCGUUAAUCGGAAUUACUGGACGUAAAGGGCACGCAGGCGGUUAAUUAAGUUGGAUGUGAAUCCCCGGGCUUAACCUGGGAAUGGCAUUCAAGACUGGUUAGCUAGAGUCUUGUAGAGGGGGUAGAAUUCCAUGUGUAGCGGUGAAAUGCGUAGAGAUGUGGAGGAAUACCGGGUGGCGAAGGCGGCCCCUGGGACAAGACUGACGCUCAUGUGCGAAAGCGUGGGGAGCAAACGAGGAUUAGAUACC